rnacentral:rRNA from 1 species
UACGUAGGGUGCAAGCGUUGUCCGGAAUUAUUGGGCGUAAAGAGCUCGUAGGCGGUCUGUCGCGUCUGCUGUGAAAACUCGGGGCUUAACCCCGGGCCUGCAGUGGGUACGGGCAGACUAGAGUGCGGUAGGGGAGACUGGAAUUCCUGGUGUAGCGGUGAAAUGCGCAGAUAUCAGGAGGAACACCGGUGGCGAAGGCGGGUCUCUGGGCCGAUACUGACGCUGAGGAGCGAAGCGUGGGGAGCGAACAGG